rnacentral:rRNA from 1 species
UACGGAGGGUGCAAGCGUUAAUCGGAAUUACUGGGCGUAAAGCGUGCGUAGGCGGUUCGUUAAGUCUGCUGUGAAAGCCCCGGGCUCAACCUGGGAAUGGCAGUGGAUACUGGCGAGCUAGAGUGUGAUAGAGGAUGGUGGAAUUCCCGGUGUAGCGGUGAAAUGCGUAGAGAUCGGGAGGAACAUCAGUGGCGAAGGCGGCCAUCUGGAUCAACACUGACGCUGAGGUGCGAAAGCGUGGGGAGCAAAC